AAGACCUUGCACUUUUGGAGCGGCCGAUGUCUGAUUAGCUAGUUGGUGGGGUAAUGGCCUACCAAAGCUUCGAUCAGUAGCUGGUCUGAGAGGACGGCCAGCCACACUGGGACUGAGACACGGCCCAGACUCCUACGGGAGGCAGCAGUGGGGAAUUUUGGACAAUGGGCGCAAGCCUGAUCCAGCCAUGCCGCGUGAGUGAAGAAGGCCUUCGGGUUGUAAAGCUCUUUCAGCCGGGAAGAAAAGGUUGCGACUAAUAAUCGCAAUUCAUGACGGUACCGAAAGAAGAAGCACCGGCUAACUACGUGCCAGCAGCCGCGGUAAUACGUAGGGUGCGAGCGUUAAUCGGAAUUACUGGGCGUAAAGGGUGCGCAGGCGGUUUUGUAAGUCAGAUGUGAAAUCCCCGGGCUUAACCUGGGAACU
rnacentral:rRNA from 1 species